UUAUAUCGGUACCUGGACCGGAUAUAUUGUGGUACCGACUACCAAAUACUACCAGAUACCUACACGUGGACCGCUAUAACAAUAGUAACAGGGCUGUAUAUUACACCACAACUUACAGCAUACAAGCCGUAUAUAAGUACAUGUUUGGCAGCUACGUUGUGGAAGCAGAUAAUUACAGAGGUCCAAGAGUCAGAGCUUACAUUGAACUUCUGGAAGUCUUCAACUGUUUAGGUUUGCCUAUUACAACAACGGAAGAAACAAUUACCACAGCAACUGAAUCCAGUACCACAGCAAUUGAAGUCAGUACUAAAUUAAGAUCGAUAAACACGGCCUCUCCCAAGAAGUCAGGAGAGGGUGGGGUAAUAGCAGGAGCUGUAGUGGGGUCACUCCUGUUGAUAUCCCUGUGGUGAGAGGGACCCUAGUAUACAUAAGAUACAACAGAAAAAGAAAAGGGAAUGAAAAAUUUGAACAGCUGGACCUUCUGAAUGCCCAGAAUUGCUGACAAGAAGGAAA